GACGAACGCUGGCGGCGUGCCUAAUACAUGCAAGUAGAACGCUGAAGCGAGGAGCUUGCUCUUCUUGGAUGAGUUGCGAACGGGUGAGUAACGCGUAGGUAACCUGCCUUGUAGCGGGGGAUAACUAUUGGAAACGAUAGCUAAUACCGCAUAACAAUGGAUGACACAUGUCAUUUAUUUGAAAGGGGCAAUUGCUCCACUACAAGAUGGACCUGCGUUGUAUUAGCUAGUAGGUGAGGUAAUGGCUCACCUAGGCGACGAUACAUAGCCGACCUGAGAGGGUGAUCGGCCACACUGGGACUGAGACACGGCCCAGACUCCUACGGGAGGCAGCAGUAGGGAAUCUUCGGCAAUGGGGGCAACCCUGACCGAGCAACGCCGCGUGAGUGAAGAAGGGUUUCGGAUCGUAAAGCUCUGUUGUAAGUCAAGAACGGGUGUGAGAGUGGAAAGUUUACACUGUGACGGUAGCUGACCAGAAAGGGACGGCUAACUACGUG
rnacentral:rRNA from 1 species